rnacentral:lncRNA from 1 species
UGGUUAGUAAUUUUCUGGAACUUUACCCAUGGGGCAUUUUUGAUACAUAGUACUAGAUUUCAAUCGACGAUACUAAGAACAAAAUUUUAAGUCAUUUUCCUCUUUUAAUGAAGAGAUAAAUUAAAUAAAUCUCCGUAAGUCCUAGCUUUUCGAUGAGGUGGUUAGCUAUUAGACAGAAAGCUGCUAUGAGUUCAACUCUUGGUGCCUUCCAUUUGAAAUUUGCACUUGUUUCAGGCAUUUGAUUAAAAAAAGAUGAAUCUGCCUGCACACGAUUGAGUUUGUUUCAUCUCUUAACAAUUUUAAGCUUUGAGAUGAGAUGGUUCAACAUUUCUAAUACUGUCUAUUGUUACCUUAUGAAACAUGCCAUUAUAUUUAUAUUUUAUUGAAGAAUUUGAUGUCUAUGCUUGCAAAAUCUUGCAGAUUCGACUAAGGCCAUCAAUGAAGAAGGGAUGCCGAUGCAUGGGAGACCAUUCAUGAAGGGUAAACUCUAUAUUCAUUUCAACGUGGAUUUUCCUAAAUCUCUAGCUCCAGAGCAAGUUGGGGCCUUGGAGGCUGCCCUACCUCCAAAGCCAUCUCUGC